AAUUGAUUAGUCUAAAAAAGACAAUUGUUUUGAAAACAAUAAAUGGUAGUUUAAUAAUCCCUCAAUUU
rnacentral:tRNA from 1 species